rnacentral:lncRNA from 1 species
AUGAAAGAGAAAGAGGGAGAAAUGCUGGAGGAGCAUCCUUGAGAUGAGAGGGGUCGGGUUUAGGGCACCAUGGAGCCUUGGUCUUAGGAAGAGGCAUGUGGGGGAGUUCCCUGGUGGCUCAGCAGGUUAAGGACCUGGCGUUGUCACUGCUGUGGCUUUAGUUACUGCUGUGGUGCAGUUUAGAUCCCUGGCCUGGGAACUUCUGCAUGCCAUGAAAAGAGGAAGAGGAAAGAAGGGAGGAGGAAAAGAAAGAAAGAAAGAAAGAGAGGCAUGUGAGCAUUGAUGGAGUCUCUUCCGAUUACUUCUGCUUCCUCAGUGAAAUAGGAAACGGUAGCUUGAAGAUGAGGAGGAGGGAUGGGAAGUUUGGGGACGUAGGAGAAACUAUGUAUCUGCUGAUGAAUGGCUGUUUCCCUUAUGUGACCAGUAGCUUCCAGGAGGGACAGGAUGGCUGUCACCAUUGGCUCCAGCAUCACGCCAGCACUCCAGGUCUGAGGAAGGGGGAAGAAAGGUGGGGUCCUACUAGUUGUGUCUGACCUAAAAGAAAAGAGAAAGCUUUCCUAGAAACCCACCUGCUGCUUUCUGCUUGGAUCUCAUGGGUCAGAACUGAGUCACAUGGCUAACCCUAGCUGCAAGGGAUGCUGGAAAACCAGGAACAGGCUUCUCAGGAUUGGCUGAGAGCAGGGCACACAGUCCCAUCAAGUGCAGCCAGAGUUCAGCUAAGAGGAAGACGGGCGCUUGCCUGCCAGGCCUUCCCGUGCAUGUGCCAAGGUCACAUAUGCCAUGUUCUCAGUGGUUUUGAGCAUCCCUAAAGGGAAGUAUCAGCUGCCACGCAUGUGCGAUCCUUGCCACACUUACGUAUUGUAGGUCUUUAAUUUUGUUGUGUCCCCGACCUCAAUAGUGUCAUUUGAUAAAUGAUAAAAUGAUUUUGCCAAUGGCUUAACAUAUUUGCUCUGACUUAUCACUUACUAUCGCUGGCCUUAUAUGGGUCCUGGUAAUAGAAUGGUUUGUGCCUGGCUCUUCUGCGAGGCCUGCCACCUUGAAUAAUGCCUCUGUGCUUCCGGUCUCUUUUCUGCCAUUAGUGACAGAAGUCAUCAAUUUUGUACUGGAAAGCUUUAUUUUGUGCUUGUUCUAGAAACACUCCAGUGGUUUCCCAGAGCGAUGCCUUGAUUGUUUUCUGGGGAAACAGAUGUGAAAACUUCAAAGGCCCCUACCUAGCACCGGCCAACCUGACCUGAGAGACCCAGCGCUGGUCACAGGUAUGACGCAGAUCCUCUGGCAGGUAUGUAGGGCUGUAGUUUCUAUUUUUACUGUUCUUUUCCGGUGCAAACUCAUAGCUCUCCGAGCCAGUGCUUUCCAUGGGCAUAUCAAAAUCCUAGACACUAUUUAGGUUAUGCCUUAUUCUGAAUUACAGAAUUUGUGUUAAUGUAUUCAACCCUUCUUUAAUAUUUCAACAGACCAUUUUGCAUUAUCAGUUCAUUUUGUUAUUCGAGGCUGAAAUACAACAGCAAACAUGUUUGAGGGCUUACUGUGUGCCAGGCCCUAUUCUAAGUGCUUUAUAUAGACCAUGGCAAUUUUAGAAGAUGCCCCCAACCUUUGUGACACUCCUCCCUUGAAGAGUUGGAAUCUACACCCCUUCCCUUGUAAUCUGGGCUGGACUGAUGUGAUUCGCUUAUCAUCAACGGAAGGCAAUGGCAGUGAUGUUUUGUGAUUUCCAAGUUCAAGUACAAAAAUACUAUGUAGUUUCUGCCUUGUGCUCCUGGGACGCUCAUUCUGAAGGAAGCCAACCACCAUGUAAAAAGCCCAACUCCCCUGAUUCUGCCGUGCUGGAUGCAGGCCCUUCGGGCACCAGCUCCAGCAGGGCUGCCAAAGUACAGCGGGCACCAGAUGCCAGCCGUGGGAGGGAGCCAUCUUGGAGGUCCAGUGCAGCCCGGAUGACGUAUCAGAUGAUGGUAUUUGCAGCCAGCGUCUGACUGCACCCGAUCAAGAACCCCAAGUGAGAACUGCCCAGCUGAGCCCUUCCAGAAUUCCUGACUCACAAAACUGUGAGCACGAUAAAAUGGUUGGGUAUGGGCUUUUUUUUUUUUUUAAACUGCCAGAAUUUUUAAGCCGCAAUAGUAACCAGAAGACCUAGAACUCACCUUGUCUCAGGAGUCCCCAUCGUGGCUCAGCGAUGAUCAAACCCAGCUAGCAUACACGAGGAUGUGGGUUCGAUCCCUGGCCUUGUUCAGUGGGUAAAGGAUCCGGCGUGGCCGUGAGCUGUGGUGUAGGUCGCAGACGCGGCUCAGAUCCUGCAUUGCUGUGGCUGUGGCGUAGGUCAGCAGCUGCAGCUCCUAUUCGACCCCUGGCCUGGGAACUUCCAUAUGCUGCGAGUGCAGCCCUAAAAAGACAAAAAAAAAAAAAAAAAAAAAAAAAAAAAGGAAAAGAAAAAAAAAGGAAAAGAAAAAGAAAAGAACUCACCUUGUCUCCAUUUUUCAGAUAAAGAAAUUGAUCCCCAGAGAGAUUAAACAACUUGCACAUGUUUUCACAGCAGAGAUAAGAGAUGAAUGCAGGCAGCCUGAUUCUAAUAUUCUGCCUCUUGACAAUAAGGGGAGGGGGGGAAGCAAAGUUAACAAACAAGCAAGAAUGCACACAAUAUAAAAAUGUGCCAGCCAGGCUACAGCACCUGCAGAAAUCACAAUUAACAUGACAUUUCAAUUUUGCAAAAUAUAACUGAGUGAAAUUCUUCCAAUCUUUCCUCUUUCAUCCAAAACCUCUAAACUGGAAAUUCCCACUGUGGCUCAGUGGGUUACAAGCCUGACUAGUAUCCAGUGAAAAUGCUGGUUCUAUCCCUGGCCUCGAUCAGUGGGUUAAGGAUCUGGUAUUGCCGUGUGUUGUGGUAUAGGUUGCAGACUCUGCUGGGAUCUGGUGUUGCUGUGGUGUAGGCUGGCAGCUGCACCUCUGAUUCGACCACUAGCCCAGGAACUUCCAUAUGCUCCAAGUGUGGCCCUAAAAAACAAAAUAAACCACAAACAAACCUCCAAACUGCCCAGGGAGGUCAGGGUUUUGAGAUCACACAGGGGAACCCAGACCUCUUGACUUGUAGUAUCUUAGACACUGAAGAACUGAAGCUCCUGG